GAUGAACGCUGGCGGCGUGCCUAAUACAUGCAAGUCGAGCGAACAGACGAGGAGCUUGCUCCUCUGACGUUAGCGGCGGACGGGUGAGUAACACGUGGAUAACCUACCUAUAAGACUGGGAUAACUUCGGGAAACCGGAGCUAAUACCGGAUAAUAUAUUGAACCGCAUGGUUCAAUAGUGAAAGACGGUUUUGCUGUCACUUAUAGAUGGAUCCGCGCCGCAUUAGCUAGUUGGUAAGGUAACGGCUUACCAAGGCAACGAUGCGUAGCCGACCUGAGAGGGUGAUUCGGCAAACCGGAACUGAGAAACGGUCCCGACUCCUACGGGAGGCAGCAGUUGGGAAUCUUGCGCAAUGGGCGAAAGCCUGAACGAGCCACGCCGCGUGAGUGAAGAAGGUCUUCGGAUUGUAAAACUCUUUUAUUUGGGAAGAAAAAAAGUUUAAGUAAACUUUGCCCUUUUGACGGUACCUAAACAAAAAGCCCCGGCUAACUUCGUG
rnacentral:rRNA from 1 species